ACAGCAGUAGCCGCGGGAAUACAGAGGGUGCGAGCGUUAAUCGGAUUUACUGGGCGUAAAGCGUGCGUAGGCGGCUUUUUAAGUCGGAUGUGAAAUCCCUGAGCUUAACUUAGGAAUUGCAUUCGAUACUGGGAAGCUAGAGUAUGGGAGAGGAUGGUAGAAUUCCAGGUGUAGCGGUGAAAUGCGUAGAGAUCUGGAGGAAUACCGAUGGCGAAGGCAGCCAUCUGGCCUAAUACUGACGCUGAGGUACGAAAGCAUGGGGAGCAAACAGGAUUAGAUACCCCAGUAGUCCCUGUCUCUUAAAC
rnacentral:rRNA from 1 species